UCACCCUCUGCCACGCCCAUGGCAGCACAGUAAGGCUCUCCUUCCCACUGUCCCGAGCUUCUUCUUCGAUGCAGAGAGGAAUCUUUGUGAAGAUGUAUCUUUGAAGCUCUGGGCUUUCCUUGCCCAGCUCUUCCUGUUUGGAGUUACGUCAUCACUUCCUGGCAGACAGUUUUGACAUCAUAAUUCACAAUUGGCCUGAUACACCCAUUAGGAAGGGACAUUGGAAAAUUGAUGUCUUUUUUUUUUGCCCCCCUGAAGCUGGCUGUUUUCCUUCAAACAGAAACCCCGAAGGCAUUCCCUCCUUGGUAAUCCAAAAUAAUCCACUCUUUUCGGUUCUCAGAAACAGUUUAUGACAAAGAACCAGUCUUUCUGACUUGCUUCCAUUUCCUUUGGGAAGAGGAAGAGACGGAAAAGACAGACAGACCACUGUGGGACUGUGGGAAGAUCCUUUGAGAAGAAGCUGGCUGCCAGCCAAGAGGACAGGCUUUGGAAGUAGCCAAGCCUGGCCCCACCUCGGACCGUGGGAUCCUGCCCUCCACAUCUCUGAAAGGCACGUGCUUCGGUUUGAUGGCUCCAGCCAACGGAGAGAGGAGCCACCACCAGUGUCCCAGAUUGCUCACUGUGUGUCCCCAGUGAAUCGCUCAGCCUCCCUGAGUGUUUCCCAGUCCUACUGGAAGAUAAAGGGAGGGGCGCAAUCCAGUGAUGGAGUGUGGUGAGGCACACAAAGCUGACAACUGGGGUGCUGGGGGCGUGGCCCAGUGGCCGAGCAUCUUCGGAGCUCGCAGGAGACCCUAGGUUCUGUCCUGAACACUACAAAAGAAAGCAAAAUCCCUAUUCCAGGCACGGAGCUGAAAAGUCUUUGGAGGUCUGAGGCAGGAGGGUCAGGAAGGAGUUCCAGGCCUUUUGGAAGCGGAGUUUAGAGUAAGCGUGGAAGAAACCAGGAUUGACGACCUCACGGGCCUGUUUUUUUCAAAGAAAGGAAAUGAAUGAUGCUUGACACCUGGCAUGCCAAUGAAAGUGGUCAAAUCACCUGGUGAUCCUUUGCUAUUCUAUUAGGGCCAACCUCUGCCUGAAUCCCCCAAUUUCCUGAGCAUUGUUUAGGCCCUAAUCUGUCUGUCCGUGAAUGGGACUCAUUCCUAUGAAAGAGGGCCCAUUACUCCAGGGUUGGCAUCCUCCAUCAAUAGAAUCCAUCUUUCUCCUUCCUCCAGGCCCCAGUCCUGAGUUCUGCUUCUCAGCCAAUAGAACUCAUUCUUUUUAAUUAGUUAAUUUAAUUAAUUAAAAUAUAAUUAAUUUUA